UCCGAGUUGUCCCCGGCAGUCCUCUUAGAGUCCCCGGCAUUACCCGCUGGCAACUAAGAGCAGGGGUUGCGCUCGUUGCGGCACUUAAGCCAACACCUCACGGCACGAGCUGACGACAGCCAUGCACCACCUGUGCACAGGCCCCGAAGGGCUGCCGUAUUUCUACGGCAUUCCUGUGCAUGUCAAGCCUAGGUAAGGUUCUUCGCGUUGCAUCGAAUUAAACCACAUGCUCCACCGCUUGUGCAGGCCCCCGUCAAUUUCUUUGAGUUUUAACCUUGCGGCCGUACUCCCCAGGCGGAUGACUUAACGCGUUAGCUGCGCCACCUAAACGCUAAGCGCCCAGACAGCUAGUCAUCAUCGUUUACCGCGUGGACUAC
rnacentral:misc_RNA from 1 species